UCAUAAAAUUUUAUUUUGUAAGUUUUGGGGGUGCACCUACAUAAAUGAGGUAAACGAUGCGGGUGCUCCAUUCGUGAUCACUCACAACAGCUUAUCCUGAAAACUUUUUAGGGCGUUGUAUGGAAGAUAUUUUUUCGCUUUUCUAAGGAAUUACGCUAUAAUUGCACGUAUACAUAUACAUAUGCAUUGUCGUCAGAGGUAGAAGUAAUGGAAAAUCGUUUCCAGUAAAUUAUGGAAUGUGCUUGUCGGAUAUAUAUAAGAGGGCGAACGAAUUUCUUUAUCCAAACAUCGGUAGAGAGGUGUGUUAUACAGUGCUUAGUAGCGACUAUUUACAUAAAUAAACGAUAUAACAAUAUUGAGAAAAGACAAUGGGAAGGAAAAAAACUGAUUUGCAAAAUUACGUUAAGUACGAUGAAACUACCAAGAAAAGUACCUGCAUUGUAGAGUCGUGUAAAAGAGAGCUUACUGGAUUAUUGCGAGGAAAUAUUAAAAGACAUUAUAAACUUAUACACAAAAUAGAUAUAGAAAAUAGUGAUGACAGUGAUGAUGAUAAUACUUCUACCACAAAAAAACGAAAAACCGUGUCAAAGUUAAGUACUAGUUUAGACAGAGACAGUUUUUUGAGAUGCUGCGUGGGACUGGUCACCAAAAAAAAUAUUCCCUUUCGAAUAUUUGAUGAGGAAUAUUUUAAACAACUUAUAUCACCAUACGAGCAGAAGUUUGGUAUACAUUUAAACUCAAAGAACAUAGCCUUCUUGACAAAGCAAGUCAACAAAUUAAGCAAAAAAUAGGUCAUUCGGUAAAAAAUAAAAUAAUAUCUAUAAAAAUUGACAUCGCAACUCGCAUGGAAAGAAGCGUGCUGGGGAUCAACAUCCAAUACAUUAAAGAUUACAAAGUCAUUGUUCAUACAAUUGGAAUGAUUGAAACAACUAAACGACAUACAGCUGCAAGUUUAAAGGAAGAAAUUAUGAAAUGUCUCAACGAGUAUGGCAUUGGGAUACACCAAAUUUAUUCCAAUACCACUGACAACGGCGCAAAUGUAGUUAAAGCGUCCAAAUUGCUACACGAUAUGCAGCAAGAAAGUUUAGCAAACAAAGAUGCUAUAAAUGAUGUUGAGGCAGAUCAUAUUGAGUCUCAAAUCGCUUCUGUGUUUUCUGUUGUUCGUUGUGCUGCUCAUACUAUUCAGCUAGCAGCAUAUGAUGUCAUAAAAACAAUUGAAAAGGACUUGGAAGAGUGCAGGACGAUUGUAAAAAAAUUGAGAACCUUAGUGAGAGCAGGAAAUACCGACAUCAGUUUGCCAUUCAUCGACAACAGAACUAGGUAUGCUAUGAUGGAAUCACUUUACCGAAUCAAAGAAUACAUUGAAAAUUUGGAUAAAAACAUGUACAUAAAUUGGUCAUUCGUUAAGGAUUUUUUCACCGCUUUUCAACCAAUCCUAAGUGCACCCUAAAACUUCAAAAUGAGCAGUAUAUUAUAGGAGACUUCUUCAGGGAUUGGCUUACUUGCGAACUAGAGCUUGUAGACUUGGUACCAGACAAUAUUUAUGCAGAUUCCUUCCUAAAUGCGAUGGAAAUAAGAAAAAAAUUUCCUUUUAGAAUAUAAGGCUUUCGUCGCUGCUCUAUAUCUAGAUCCAAGAUUUAAUUUUGAAGAAACACCUCUCCUCAGCUCUGAGCAAAAGGAUGUUGCAAUGGAUCACUUAAUAAGGACUUACGAAAUGAUCCAGAAAAAUCCAUCAGAAUAUGAGAAUGAUUGCACUUCUGGAGUUGUACCACAUACAACACAGGACAAUGAACUUCCAAGCACAUCGAAAGGGGCGUACCAUAAGUUAACGCUUCACGUAAGGUCAUUGGCAAAAUCGCAAAGUGCAACGACACCAAUCGUAAAACCUGACAUCAAACAAAAGCUGGUUAAUCUCUGUGUAAAAGGAAUGGAACCGUUCGACACAAAUGUCCUGGAAUACUGGAGAAAAUUUUAUCGGAAUUAGUGUGAGAUGUUGAAGUUAGCGGAGUUUCUGUUGAGCGGGCUUUCAGCGCACUUACUACAAUACUCACUAAGUUACGUACAAAAUUGUCAAAAAAAUUAAAUUUUGAUAUUCUCCACUUCUCAAAAUUAGAAAUUGAAGAAAAUAAAUAGAUAAAAUAAUGUGAUGUAAUAAUUUGCUUGGCAAAGUAUUAGAUCU